rnacentral:lncRNA from 1 species
CCUUUAAAAGACUCGAAAUUAUGUGGAUUCUGACAUCCUCCUUUUCGGGCCUGCUGAGUCACGGAAUAUUCUCAGUGCCAGAAUGACUCAGUUCACAGAACCUGAGCCAGAAGAUCAUGAGUUUUAGUCCCGGAGCAGAACCUGGGCGCUUACCCAGUGCUGGAUACGGCAAGCAGAGACCAGGGCAGGGAGGCAGCAGCUUGAAACCCUUGGCGUCCCCAAGCAGAGAGGAUGCACAUAGUGAAUGACACGGAUUUGUUUUGUUCUAGCUUUUCAGGAAUUUAAUGAUAAAGUGCGGAUAAUAAGUACACCGCAAAAACAAAACAAAAAAACACAUGCAUAAUUUCGGACCCAGUUGUCCCAUUAAGAUAGGCGUAAUGGGAAUCUGAAACAAGGAAAUAAGUAUAUGUUAGGUGACUCUGGAUAGUUAGGGUUAGUUAGACGCAGACUGCUGAUUAGGAAAACCUUAAGGAUAAUGUUCUGGUAGGAUGAAGAAGGGAGGGGAAUCUAGGGUCUUGUUACACGGCUGAGCUUACUUAGCAAGUUAUGUUCAUCACUGUUCCGUUUAUUUGAUGAGAUGGGUGGAGAUUAUGCAUGGCUAAAGGUGCCUCAUUCUUGGCACCUUCUCUUUGGGAGAAUUAAGUUGUGGGGACUAAUAAUUUUUUAAUCCUUUCAUACAUGAGUUGAAGCGAAAUAAAUACGUUCAUUUACACCUAGAGGG